UGCCUGGCACGUCAGUGGAACAAUUAAUGGGCUGAGAGGGGUGUGCACUGUCAGAGGCAGCAGUACACCAGUGAAAUGAGGAGCACUAUCUCCCUACCAGCACAUUUCCACUGAGUGAGAGAGAGAGAAUAAGGGAAGGAGAAAUAAGGCGAAAGGUGUGUAUCCUUUUGUCCCUCGGUUUUGCAAUAAUCUGUCAUUUUCUUCUGAUUUCUGCAUGUGUUCUGAGGUCUACAUGUACCCUCCUCUCUCUUUCUCUUUCUCCCUCUCAUUUUCAUUCUCACUCUGCCUGUUUCUCUCUACCUCUCACUCUUUGGGAUGAAACGCUUAGCUGUAUUUAAUGCUGUGAGUUAUUGAGGUUCUAGACCAAAUUGCCUUAUCUCCUCAUACAGACCCACAUAUAUGUAAUAUCCAGGUAGCACCAUAGAACGAGGCAGGUGGAAAGAUUGACAAAAAGAGCGUGAUCAUUUGUGUACAGCUGCAACCUCAACACCAGCUUUGUCAUCACUGUGAACCUCAGUAAAGACAGCCCAACCAUGGAUCAGAAAAUCAAUGAAUGCCCCACCACCACCUCCCCCCAGAAACAGAUGAAGAGUAGGUCCAAAUCCACCGAUGAGAUCCAGCACACCAAGAGGCUUUCAUCACAGAAAUCCCUUCCCGGUGGGUCUGACCUGGACAAAGUCAAGGAAGGCCCAGAAGGUUCUGAGACUCCCUCGUCCUCCACAGAGGAGCUGAAGUGAUGACGGCUGGGGUCCCUAAGGGAAAUAAGGCCAUGAACCUUCCAUCUGCUCAUUAAACAUGAACACAUACUGUACACACACAUAGACUCACAUACACACACACACACACACACACAGUCACAUCCCUACACACACUGAAAAAUGCAAACACUGAAUUGAUAAACUGAGUUGGUGGAAAGUCAUGUGAUAGACAUUAAUUCUGAAUGGUUAAGUUAAGGGUUAGGAUUUGGGAUAGGUUUAAAACAAAACAUUUAAAAUGUGUUUCUACCACUGGGAGAUAACAUGUAGCAUUCGGAUUCAGGGUCAUGGUAUUAUGUCCAUUAUGUCUCAUGGGAUUAUGUCCACACCGCUGUAGCAAAACCCAAGCCUACUUGUUAGUAAUAGUGCUCAUUUUGAAGUCAAUCUGCAGCGAUCUGCCUACACACACACACACACACACACACAAUGACAACAAGAACACAAGAAAUGGGCACAUGUGGUGAUCCUGUAUCAUUGUACUGUGAGUUAUCUGUACAUACCAAACUGAAUGUGCAUUCUUCACAAUAAAGCAGUGCUGUUGAGUGGACC
ensembl:lncRNA